rnacentral:snoRNA from 1 species
UAAGGAUGAUCACUUGAUGACGAGUCCGACUUCCGGGCGCACGAGUUUCUCGUGUUGCUCGUGGGUGACGACAUCUAAUUUUUAAUACCAUUCAUGCUUUACUGAAA